GAGACCAACUGUUGCAAGAAAGCCUACAACUGGUUCUGUGGCUUGGAACAGACGGGCCCCAAGCUGAGCAAGGAAGAAGAGGCCCUGCAGCAUAAGUUGACAGACACAACGGAGGAGCCCUUGUGGAGGCGCGUGCUCAACAUCAAUGCCAUCAUCUUGCUGUCGGUGGCUGUCUUCUGCCAUGGAUUUUUUGCAUAGGUCUUUGGUUAUUUGGAUUUUCCCAAACAGAACACACCCCCAUCCAAUCAGAGCACAGCCAACCCCACCAUCCAAUCAGAGCACAGCCAAACCCCCAACCAAUCAGAACAGACCUCCACCCAAUCAGAAUACAGCCAAACUCCCAACCAAUCAGUUGAAACCCCCACUAGCAGUUAAAAGGAAGAAACAGCUGUGAUCACACAUUGCUCCUAGAAGCACGAAGCUGUAAACACCAGCCUGAAGAUGACGGAUGAGACUUCAUUGAAACGUCGCCAAGACACUUCCAAUUUUACAUGGGAGAAAACCCGAAUAACCAAAGACAGACAUACACACACACACACACACACACACACACAUAAAUGACUGUGUCUUGUUGAAAAAAACAAAAUGAAACAGAA